UACCUAUAGGUAGUUGGGUAGUGAAGUAGUCGAGUAGUUAUAGGUAUAGUGAAGUAGUUGGGUAGUGCAGUAGCUAGGUAGUUGGGUAGUGAAGUAGUUGGGUAGUGAAGUAGUCAAGUAGUUGGGUAGUUGGGUAGUGCAGUAGCUGGGUAGUGAAGUAGUUGGGUAGUCAAGUAUAUAGUCAAGUAGUUGGGUAGUGCAGUAGCUAGGUAGUUGGGUAUAUAUAUAGUGAAGUAGUUGGGUAGUGAAGUAGUCGAGUAG